rnacentral:rRNA from 1 species
GCAUACAAUAAGCGGAGGAAAAGAAAAUAACAAUGAUUUCCCUAGUAACGGCGAGUGAAGAGGAAAGAGCUCAAAGUUGGAACCUGUUUGGCUUAGCUAAACCGGAUUGUAAACUGUAGAAGUGUUUUCCAGACACGCCUGGUAAAAAAGUCCUUUGGAACAGGGCAUCAUAGAGGGUGAGAAUCCCGUCUUUGGCCAGAGCUGUUGUCUUUUGUGAUACAUUUUCAAAGAGUCAGGUUGUUUGGGAAUGCAGCCUAAAUUGGGUGGUAAAUCUCACCUAAAGCUAAAUAUUUGCGAGAGACCGAUAGCGAACAAGUACCGUGAGGGAAAGAUGAAAAGAACUUUGAAAAGAGAGUUAAACAGUAUGUGAAAUUGUUAAAAGGGAACCGUUUGGAGCCAGACUGGCUUGACUGUAAUCAAUCUAGGCUUCGGCCUGGAUGCACUUGCGGUUUAUGCCUGCCAACGACAAUUUUCUUUGAGGGAAAAAACUAUUAGGAAUGUGGCCCCCUCGGGGGUGUUAUAGCCUUUUAGAAAAUACCUUGAAUUGGAUUGAGGAACGCAGUGAAUGCCUUUAGGCAAGAUUGCUGGGCGCUUUCGCUAAUAAAUGCUAGAAUUUCUGCUUYGGGUGGUGCUAGUGUUUAAAGGAGAAACUCGCUUGGUAUAUUUUUUAUUCGCUUAGGUUGUUGGCUUAAUGACUCUAAAUGACCCGUCUUGAAACACGGACCAAGGAGUCCACCAUUAGUGCGAGUAUUUGGGUGCCAAACCCAUAUGCGUAAGGAAACUGAUUGAUACGAAAUCUUUAAGAUGGCAGUAUCACCCGGCGAUGACGUUUUAUACUGAACCGACCGAGGUAAAGCACUAAUGAUGGGACCCGAAAGAUGGUGAACUAUGCCUGAAUAGGGUGAAGCCGGAGGAAACUCCGGUGGAGGCUCGUAGCGAUUCUGACGUGCAAAUCGAUCGUCAAAUUUGGGUAUAGGGGCGAAAGACUAAUCGAACCAUCUAGUAGCUGGUUCUGC